GGAUCAACUUGGAACAAUUCUCUCAAAUGUCUAAACACUACCGGACAAUAAUCCUUCCAACGGAAAUCAGUAGAUUGAUGAGGGGGUGUAAGCUUAGACCCUUCUGGUGGAAACCUGGUCCAGAACUUCUCGUUAGGAUCAAAAUCACUGGUUUUAAGAUCCCGUAAUAUCGAAGCAUGCUUCCCAACCGAAUACCUAAUGCCCAACUGGAGAUUGAGCAUCAAAUCGUAAUUUUUAUGCCCUUUGGAUAUAGUAUGGCAUGGCUUCUUUUCUUCUUUGCUAAA
rnacentral:misc_RNA from 1 species